GAUGAAGAAGAAGAUGAUGAUGAUUUUGAACUUUGAUGAGGAUGAUGAGUAAAAUGCAUAUGAAUCUGAAUCUGAUUCCGAUUAUUUCUUCUAAAUAUUCACACCAUUCUGUGUUUUUCUUUUCUUUUGGCAAUAUUACGUGUGUAUAAAUGUUGGGAGAGACCAAAUUGUUCGGACGCAUAACUGGGCUCUUUGCACAUAACUUGUUUAUUCUUCUUUACUGGUUACUUGCUUGCAAGGUUUAUUACUUUUCUUUGUGGUCUUUGAGUGCUGAGAAAUAAGAGUGAGAAAGCAAAAGCUGAGGAAAAUUGAAUUGGAAAGCUAGGUGAAAUACUGAAAUCCAUGGAGAUAAAGCAAGUAAUGAGAUUUUCAU
rnacentral:misc_RNA from 1 species